rnacentral:rRNA from 1 species
CUCCUGGAAACGGGUGGUAAUGCCGGAUGCUCCGCCCCCUCGCAUGGGGGGUCGGGAAGGCUUUUGCGGAAUGGGAUGGGGUCGCGUCCUAUCAGCUUGUUGGCGGGGCGACGGCCCACCAAGGCUUCGACGGGUAGCCGGCCUGAGAGGGCGACCGGCCACAUUGGGACUGAGAUACGGCCCAGACUCCUACGGGAGGCAGCAGUGGGGAAUAUUGCACAAUGGGGGGAACCCUGAUGCAGCGACGCCGCGUGCGGGAUGGAGGCCUUCGGGUCGUGAACCGCUUUUGAUUGGGAGCAAGCGUGAGUGAGUGUACCUUUCGAAUAAGCACCGGCUAACUACGUGCCAGCAGCCGCGGUAAUACGUAGGUGCAAGCGUUGUCCGGAAUCAUUGGGCGUAAAGGGCUCGUAGCGGUUCGUCGCGUCCGGUGUGAAGCCCAUCGCUAACGUGGUCUGCGCCGGGUACGGCGGCCUGAUGCGGCAGGGAGGCUGGAAUUCCCGGUGUACCGUGGAUGUGUAGAUAUCGGGAGACACC